rnacentral:rRNA from 1 species
UACGGGGGGAGCAAGCGUUGUUCGGAUUUACUGGGCGUAAAGGGCGCGUAGGCGGUCAGCACAAGUCAGUUGUGAAAUCUCCGGGCUUAACUCGGAAAGGUCAACUGAUACUGUGCGACUAGAGUGCAGAAGGGGCAACUGGAAUUCUCGGUGUAGCGGUGAAAUGCGUAGAUAUCGAGAGGAACACCUGCGGCGAAGGCGGGUUGCUGAGCUGACACUGACGCUGAGGCGCGAAAGCCAGGGGAGCGAACGGG